rnacentral:rRNA from 1 species
UACGUAGGGGGCUAGCGUUGUUCGGAAUUACUGGGCGUAAAGCGCGUGUAGGCGGCCCUGCAAGUCGGAUGUGAAAUCCCACGGCUCAACCGUGGAAGUGCAUUCGAAACUGCAGGGCUAGAGUCCUGGAGAGGAAGGUGGAAUGCUUGGUGUAGAGGUGAAAUUCGUAGAUAUCAAGCGGAACACCGGUGGCGAAGGCGGCCUUCUGGACAGUGACUGACGCUGAGACGCGAAAGCGUGGGGAGCAAACAGG